CCUCCCAGGCCCACCAUUUCCUCGAUCGCUGUAUCAGGGAAAGUACUAUCAGGGGCCGUAGCUCAGCUGGGAGAGCGCCUGCUUUGCAAGCAGGAUGUCGUCGGUUCGAUCCCGUCCGGCUCCACCAACCAUCUUCUGCGAAGAUGGGGCGUGUCGAGUAGAGACGGUGAGAAAAAAGUCAUUCGAAAAAGAGUUUGCGUCGAGCCUCUUGGCUCUGCGCCUGUUCUGUUUGACAUCGUAAAGAGAAGAUUUGUUCGAACUUCAUGAGCCGCAAGGUCUCAUGAUUUGUCGCAAGGGACGCUCAAUCCCUUGCCUAUGAUGGGUUUGCCUAACCGCGCCCUCGAACGGAUCUCGAGAAGCUGGUCUUUUUGUGCCAAUUCCAACCAGUAAUACCCCGCACAGGGUGUUGCUGGAGCGACGAUCUCUUCGAGAUCGCGCUUAUGCGACGAUCCUUCGGAUCGCGCUUAGCCAAUCCCGCAAGGGCGAGGCUGAAGCGACGAUCCCUGCGGGAUCGCGCGAUGAUGGGUAUUGGCAAUGAGAACGAUCAAGUGUCUUAAGGGCAAUUGGUGGAUGCCUUGGCAUGCACAGGCGAUGAAGGACGUGAUACGCUGCGAUAAGCUACGGGGAGGUGCGAAUACCCUUUGAUCCGUAGAUCUCCGAAUGGGAA
rnacentral:misc_RNA from 1 species